rnacentral:rRNA from 1 species
UACAGAGGUCCCAAGCGUUGUUCGGAUUCAUUGGGCGUAAAGGGUGCGUAGGUGGCGCUGUAAGUCGGGUGUGAAAUUUCGGAGCUUAACUCCGAAACUGCAUUCGAUACUGCGGUGCUUGAGGACUGGAGAGGAGACUGGAAUUCAUGGUGUAGCAGUGAAAUGCGUAGAGAUCAUGAGGAAGACCAGUGGCGAGGGCGGGUCUCUGGACAGUUCCUGACACUGAGGCACGAAGGCCAGGGGAGCAAACGGG